rnacentral:rRNA from 1 species
GUCUACGGCCAUACCACCCUAAACGCGCCUGAUCUCGUCUGAUCUCAGAAGCUAAGCAGGGUCGGGCCUGGUUAGUACUUGGAUAGGAUUGGCAUUUUAAAGGAAGAGGAAACUGCUGUGUACA